rnacentral:rRNA from 1 species
AGCGAACGCUGGCGGCAGGCUUAACACAUGCAAGUCGAGCGGGCGUAGCAAUACGUCAGCGGCAGACGGGUGAGUAACGCGUGGGAACAUACCUUUUGGUUCGGAACAACACAGGGAAACUUGUGCUAAUACCGGAUAAGCCCUUACGGGGAAAGAUUUAUCGCCGAAAGAUUGGCCCGCGUCUGAUUAGCUAGUUGGUAGGGUAAUGGCCUACCAAGGCGACGAUCAGUAGCUGGUCUGAGAGGAUGAUCAGCCACAUUGGGACUGAGACACGGCCCAAACUCCUACGGGAGGCAGCAGUGGGGAAUAUUGGACAAUGGGGGCAACCCUGAUCCAGCCAUGCCGCGUGAGUGAUGAAGGCCCUAGGGUUGUAAAGCUCUUUUGUUCGGGAAGAUAAUGAC